GACGAACGCUGGCGGCGUGCUUAACACAUGCAAGUCGAACGGAAAGGCCCUGCUUUUGUGGGGUGCUCGAGUGGCGAACGGGUGAGUAACACGUGAGUAACCUGCCCUUGACUUUGGGAUAACUUCAGGAAACUGGGGCUAAUACCGGAUAGGAGCUCCUGCUGCAUGGUGGGGGUUGGAAAGUUUCGGCGGUUGGGGAUGGACUCGCGGCUUAUCAGCUUGUUGGUGGGGUAGUGGCUUACCAAGGCUUUGACGGGUAGCCGGCCUGAGAGGGUGACCGGCCACAUUGGGACUGAGAUACGGCCCAGACUCCUACGGGAGGCAGCAGUGGGGAAUAUUGCACAAUGGGCGGAAGCCUGAUGCAGCAACGCCGCGUGCGGGAUGACGGCCUUCGGGUUGUAAACCGCUUUCGCCGGUGACGAAGCGUGAGUGACGGUAAUGGGUAAAGAAGCACCGGCUAACUACGUGCCAGCAGCCGCGGUGAUACGUAGGGUGCGAGCGUUGUCCGGAUUUAUUGGGCGUAAAGGGCUCGUAGGUGGUUGAUCGCGUCGGAAGUGUAAUCUUGGGGCUUAACCCUGAGCGUGCUUUCGAUACGGGUUGACUUGAGGAAGGUAGGGGAGAAUGGAAUUCCUGGUGGAGCGGUGGAAUGCGCAGAUAUCAGGAGGAACACCAGUGGCGAAGGCGGUUCUCUGGGCCUUUCCUGACGCUGAGGAGCGAAAGCGUGGGGAGCGAACAGGCUUAGAUACCCUGGUAGUCCACGCUGUAAACGGUGGGUACUAGGUGUGGGGUCCAUUCCACGGGCUCCGUGCCGUAGCUAACGCUUUAAGUACCCCGCCUGGGGAGUACGGCCGCAAGGCUAAAACUCAAAGGAAUUGACGGGGCCCCGCACAAGCGGCGGAGCAUGCGGAUUAAUUCGAUGCAACGCGUAGAACCUUACCUGGGUUUGACAUGGAUCGGGAGCGCUCAGAGAUGGGUGUGCCUCUUUUGGGGUCGGUUCACAGGUGGUGCAUGGCUGUCGUCAGCUCGUGUCGUGAGAUGUUGGGUUAAGUCCCGCAACGAGCGCAACCCUUGUUCACUGUUGCCAGCACGUUAUGGUGGGGACUCAGUGGAGACCGCCGGGGUCAACUCGGAGGAAGGUGGGGAUGACGUCAAGUCAUCAUGCCCCUUAUGUCCAGGGCUUCACGCAUGCUACAAUGGCUGGUACAGAGAGUGGCGAGCCUGUGAGGGUGAGCGAAUCUCGGAAAGCCGGUCUCAGUUCGGAUUGGGGUCUGCAACUCGACCUCAUGAAGUCGGAGUCGCUAGUAAUCGCAGAUCAGCAACGCUGCGGUGAAUACGUUCCCGGGGCU
rnacentral:rRNA from 1 species